GAAAUGCGAUAAGUAAUGCGAAUUGCAGAAUUCAGUGAGUCAUCGAAUCUUUGAACGCACAUUGCGCCCCGCGGUAUUCCGCGGGGCAUGCCUGUUCGAGCGUCAUUUCAACCCUCAAGCCCUGCUUGGUGUUGGGCCCCGCCCGCCGCGGCCGGCCCUAAAGUCAGUGGCGGUGCCGUCGGGCCCUGAGCGUAGUAAAUCUCGCGCUCCAGGGUCCCGCGGUCGCCCGCCAGGAACCCCCUUCUAGGUUGACCUCGGAUCAGGUAGGGAUACCCGCUGAACUUAA
rnacentral:misc_RNA from 1 species